rnacentral:lncRNA from 1 species
GUAAGUCUUCUUCAAUUAUCCUUUCAAAUCAUCACUUUACUUGCUUCGAUUACAGCUAGUAUUUAACUCCUAAGCUAAUGCUAUUAGCUUAAAUUGGCUAUUCAGACAUGAUUGAUAUCUUCAUAAUACUUUGAAGAUAUAAUUAAAAUGUUUUGAAGUUUGAAAUGGAUUUAAAAUAUGGAUUGUAGUGAAAAAGAGUAACUAUAUUAUGGAUACUCUUAUACUAAGAGCUAGAUAACAUUUUGCAUCUUUUACUAAAAAAUGGACAAGUUAAACCAUAUAUAUUAGAUUAAAGAGUAAAUUAAAUUUUUUAUUAAAAUUGUUAUUGAUUUAUACUAUUAAAAAUUAGCGUGAAUAAUAGAAUAAUCAAAUAGGGACACUUGAUGUGCCACAUGUACAAAAACUAAUUUUUAACACAAAAUGGAUUGAAUUUUUAACAAAAGAACCAAUUUACUGUUUGAGCGUAGAAAGACUAAUUUACUCAUUUUUUAAAUAAAAAAAAUAAAAUGCAAUUCGAUUUUUAAUAUGGAGGACUCCAUUUACUUUUACCUGAAAAAUACAUUUGGUACAAUUAACCCAAUCAUCAGCAUGUGAUAUGGUUCAAUAAUUUGAUAGCCAAACCAUGUUCUUGGCAGCCGGAACUUUGAAUUCCGAUGAGCCAAGAGACCUUGAUCUGGCGUACAAAGAUCGGUUUUUCCUCCAACCAUUGACUCCGGCACAAGCGGCUCAGAGGGCAAAGGAAUCAGCCAAAGACAUCCUUGGUGUCAAGACCUUGAUCGACAAAAAAGCAUGGCCCUAUGUCAUGAAUGACCUUCGUCUCAAGGCUGAGUACCUCCGCUUUGACCUUAAAACUGUUAUUUCUUCCAAGCCCAAAGAUGAAAAGAAAUCUCUCGAUGAACUCACUAAAAAGCUCUUCAAUACCAUUGAUGGAGUAAGUUUUGAAGUAUACAGAUUAAUUUAUAUUAUUUAACGAAAUAUUAUAACUUAC